rnacentral:rRNA from 1 species
CCUACGGGUGGCAGCAGUGGGGAAUAUUGGGCAAUGGAGGCAACUCUGACCCAGCAAUGCCGCGUGCAUGAUGACGGUUUUAGGAUUGUAAAGUUCUUUUCUUAGGGGAGAAGAAACAGACGGUACCAUCGGAAUAAGACUCGGCUAACUAUGUGCCAGCAGCCACGGUAAUACGGAGGAGGCAAGCGUUAUCCGGAUUGACUGGGCGUAAAGGGUGAGUAGGUGGUUUGACAAGUUGGUCGUGUAACUCCGGGGCUCAACCUCGGCAUUAGGUCCAAUACUGUCUGACUAGAGAGCAGGUGGGGCAGAUGGAAUGUAUGGUGUAGCGGUGGAAUGCGUAGAGAUUAGGAGGAACACCAGUGGCGAAGGCGAUUUAC